CCCCAAACCAGCCUCCCCACCCCCCCUCCCUGCGCAGAGCUGCCGUUGCCAUAGAAACGCCAGCCAAUCCCAGAACUCGCUCGCAAAAGAGGGCCGGGGGUGAAGCGAGGAAGAAGCCGAAGCAAUGGCAACCAAGAAGGAGUGGAAGGCAUGAUCGGUUUCUCCCCCCACCCAGGAGACCCCCACCCCCUUCCCCAAGGAGACGUUUGCACCACCAGAUGGGGGGGAAAGCAGACUGAAACGCGCAGGCAGAUUUGCAACUGGAAAACUGACACUUAGGCUGAAGCACUGCAAUUUCAACAAGCUGUUUCCUCUUUCGGAUGGGGAACCAGAUCAGAAACACACACACACACACACACCGAAAAGGCAGGGAGAGACAAUUUGGACAUUUCAGUCCUGGCUUCUCACAUUCCACCCCAAGAUUGUCUACUAACCACAAUCCGACAUGCUGAUGUCCCCAGGUGAUGUUUGUGCUCGGUGUGCCUCGGUUUGGCGCCCUUUCCUUCCCCUUCGUUGUAUUUUCACAACAAUCCUGUAAAAGAGGCCAGAGGGGAAAAGAUCAAAAGUCAUCAAGCAACAGAAACUGUAACCGUAACUCAAGGACUUAACAACAUCAAGCUGGUAGGAAGUGUUGGGGAGAAAGAAAAAAAAAAAGCACAAGAUUGCUGUUUUGCAAAAAAGUUAUUUGUCUUCUGCUUUACGGGAAUUCCCCGUGAAGUUGUCUUUUGCAAGAAAAGUGAGUUUUCAGCAGCUUUCCUCAUAAUCUGUAAGUUUUGAAAUUCUGGAAUUCUCAUUUCAGCUUUUCUUUCUUUUUAAAGCAAAGGCACUUGGAGAUGCCCUCAUGAGCUCCUGCCAGCUGCCUGCGAAUAACCUACUUAACAGGGUUAAUGAAAAAA